rnacentral:rRNA from 1 species
UACAGAGGGGCGAGCGUUGUUCGGAAUUACUGGGCGUAAAGGGCGCGUAGGCGGCCAACUAAGUCAGACGUGAAAUCCCUCGGCUCAACCGGGGAACUGCGUCUGAUACUGGGAUGGCUUGAAUUCGGGAGAGGGAUGCGGAAUUCCAAGGUGUAGCGGUGAAAUGCGUAGAUAUCUGGAGGAACACCGGUGGCGAAGGCGGCAUCCU